AACGAACGCUGGCGGCAUGCCUAACACAUGCCAGUCGAACGAGACCAUCGGGUCUUGUGGCGCAUGGGUGCGUAACGCGUGGGAAGCUGCACUUAGGUUCAGAAUAACUCCCCGACAGGGGUGCUAAUACGGGAUAAUGGCUUCGGACCAAAGAUUUAUCGCCUUUGUAUGGGCCCUAGUUGAAUUAGCUAGUUGGUAGGGUAAAAGCAGACCACGGCGACGAUCCAUAGCUGGUCUGAGAGGAUGAUCAGCCACACUGGGAGUGGGACACGGCCCAGACUCCUACGGGAGGCAGCAGAGGGGAAUAUUGGACAAUGGGCGAAAGCCUGAUGCAGCAAUGCCGCGUGAGUGAUGAAGGCCUUAGGGUUGUAAAGCUCUUUUACCCGGGAUGAUAAUGACGGUACCGGGAGAAUAAGCCCCGGCUAACUCCGUG
rnacentral:rRNA from 1 species